CCCCGUGGAGGGAGGGAACGCGGGUGCGAGUUCUGGCUGCGGGGACGGGAGCCUGCAGUCAGACCCCUCCGCCUCCACCAGCCCCAGGCUGCGCCCCUGCACCUGCUCCUCCCUCAGGUCAAGGUCAGCACCCACGGAGCAGCGGCCCCAUGCCAGCCGCCCCCAGGGCCCCUUCCCGGUGCUGUCUGCCCCAGCCCCCCCCCCCCUUCGCCGACCCAUGACAAUCCCUUAAGCCAGGGCACCGCCAGGUGCGGCUGGCCCAGGCUGUGGGGCAGGUAAGGGGGACGGGAAGGCCCCUGUCCUCACCAACCCCUUGUUGGACUCAGGACCUGGCCCCAGCCUGGGAACAGCUGCUAAGCUGUGGGCAUGAGGGUAGGUGAGCCAGACAGUCCCAACCAAGUUCAGUGGCUCAGGUCUAUGAGGAAGCCAGGAUGGGACCACUAGGGUGGGGUGGCCUGGGCGGAGCCCCUAGGGUGGGGCCACCGGGAUGGCGCCUCCAGGAUGGAGUCCUCCAGGGGAGACCGCUCUGCCCACAGUCCUGCUUCCUCCCCUGCCGGGCCAGCUGGCCCCUCAAGGCCUGCAUCUGAGCCGUCCUGGUUCUGCGGAAACCUGCUGUGCGACUGCGGUGCUGUCCCUUCCCCUUUUCCAGGAGACCCAGAGGCAGCCCCUCCUCCCCUGCCCCGUCCACGCUGUGCACACGGCCAUCAGCACCUGCGUAGCCUCCUGGCACCCCUGCUCCCCACUCAGUCCGUUGCCAUCAGAGCCCCGCGGGGUCUGGUCAGCACCUCCAUCAGCUCACGUCCAUCCAAAGCUCUCCAGCGGCCCCCCAGGUCCCGGCAGAGCCGUGGGAAGCCCUACGAGCCAGCCUGGGCCCCUCUCCUGGCCCCCUGCUGUCCUGCCACACGCUGGGCUCUGGCGCUUUCACAGGUAGGGGACACCGGGCUGUGGAAUGAGGGGCACAGCCCCUUUCUUGCUGAGUGCUGCCAGCUGAAGGCCCCUCCCUGCUUCUCCCCAGAGUCACUCUCCUGGGAAGCAGUUGGGACAGUAAUGGGUGGUGGCUUGGGGAGUUCGAGGAUGCUCCCCGGGGGAUGCGGGUCAGCGAGGACCUAGAGCCUCCAUUACUGCUCAGAGCACAGGUGGGUCCGGCUGGACCUGGGGGCGCAGGACGAUGGCAGGGCAGUCACGUGCCGGGACCCAAGUCAGUGGCUCGGGGGACGGGGGGGUCCCUGGGAUCCACCUGAGGCCCCAGGUCCCGGGAACUCUAACCAAAUGCAGUGCCGGCGUCUGAAAGGGGUCCCUGCUCGCUCAUGGGACGGUCCCUGCGAUCUUCCUGCAGUGCCCAGGCUCCGGGCUGUGGCUGGCCUCAGGCCCUGACACCUGUGCAGGUGCUCAGGGGAACCUACCCCUGCUCCCCGAAACCCAGGCCAAGAGCCCCAGGACCACGCAGCUGCCCAAGCCCCGGCGCUCCCACGGGAGGUGGGCUGCGUCCUCCUCUUCCCGGGACCAUGACCCUGGGAGAAGCCCCGCUUCUGCAGACUCACAGCAGCUGCGAUGCUCAGAAAAGAUGCCAUGUCACCAUCACGGGACUGAGGACCCCUCCCUGGGCAUCUGUCUGGUGCCCAAAGCAUCACGUUAGACACGGCUGUUUGUGGGAGGGGGUUCCCGAAGCCCUGCGGGGGGCGGGGGCCGCACGGCAGGGUGAGCCGGUGGCCGGUGAGGUCUUGGGGUCCCGCCUCACCUCACACCCGGGGCAGAGAGCCCAGCAUCCCAGGGAAGCGGCGGGGGAGCUGGUGUCUGUGCUCUGGGGCGGCCGCUGGGUCGGGUGGGCUGAUGCCAUUCUGCUUGUUUGAAUGGGACACGGUGCUCCUGUUGCGACAGCAGGCCCUGCAAGAGUGGGCUUCAGUUCAGGACCCGGAGUGUUCCUCAGCUGCAUGCUUGGCCCCCCAGCCCCUGUGAGCUGCUCCCCUGGCCGAGUGGGGCUGACUCGUCCACCUCCCGGGCUGGGGGGCUGAGGGAGCCCCCGCCUGGCGCCCCCGGGGCCGCCCCGGCCUGCCCGUCGUGUCCCUGUCCCGUCCCUGUCCCCGGGAGCCCCUCUCCUGCCCCUGGUGGGCCGGCCCCUCUCGCCGCCUCCCCCUGCUCCUGCCAAACCAGGAGCCUGCAUGCAGCACGGGUCGGCUCCUCCCUGGUGCUUUGUUCUGUUCACUGUCGAGCAAAUGUCAAGGAAGAAUUUAAAUGAGGGGCAAGUCUCAAAGGUUGUGUUUCUGGCGGUGUUUCAGGACACUUGUAAUGAGGGGCACAGCCAAGGCCUGUCCCGGGCUCUAGAGGCAAAGGCAGACGAGAUGGAGCCUGUGCCUCGUGUCGCGGGGACCGAGGGUUGGUGGACGGGCUGCGCCUGUGGUGUCUGCUGGGUCCCCCCUGGUGGCCGGCGACCAGCCAGGCUGCCCCUCUGAGCUCCGGAACCGGGAGUGAGGUCCGACUGAGGCAGCUGGCCCCACCUGGCUCGGCCCCAACGGUCGCCCCGGCCUGUCCCUGCCCUCGCUGACCCCUCCGAGUGGGUCCCGUCACUCCACUCUGGGCUGUGCUGUCCAGCCUCGGGGCACUGCACUCCCCUUCUCCAUCCUGCAGGACACCCCCGCACUCACUGUUUGGGGUUGGUGGGGUGGUCAGUGCCCCGAUCCUGCCCAGGACCCCGGCACUGAGACCAGCCAGAGAAAACCCCGGGUCCUGAGUCCCUAGGCGCAGAGGCUGGGAGCAGGACAUAGACAGUCAGCGUCGAUACUCACCAGCUCAGCUUGGCGUGUGUGACCUUGUGAGUCCUUACAUCCCAUGGGGCGGCCCUGACAGUCAUCCCCACCUGACACGCCUAGGGGCCUGGUCUAAGGCCACAGGAGAGGGCAGGCAGGAUAGGUGAUCACAGCACGGCAGCGGGGAGCCCUUCCAGUCCGUCUGCGGCCUGAGGGCUGGCUGGGGAGGUUCCCGUAUGCAGCUGGAGCUCCAUUAAUGCUCCUGGACUGAAGCCUCUUCCCAGGCUUCUCCACAGAUACCAGGGCCCACGGUUCUGGAAGCCGCGGGGCGGGGGGAGCUGGUCGUCCCAGCCUGAGGCUCUCGCCCAGUGACGUGCGGGGCAGGGCAUUCGUGGCAUCCCUCCAGCCAGCGAGGAGAAGGCUGUGACCCCGAUUUACAGAUGACACCAGAGCCUGGGCCACUUCGGGGAGGGCAGUGCCGUCCUUGCUGGGCAAGGGCGCCGGUGAGCGAUGGGGAGGGGGCUGGGCGCAGCCUGGAGUGGGUGGCCG
rnacentral:lncRNA from 1 species